rnacentral:rRNA from 1 species
UACGGAGGGUGCAAGCGUUGUCCGGAUUUAUUGGGUUUAAAGGGUGCGUAGGUGGUUUUUUAAGUCAGUGGUGAAAGCCUACAGCUCAACUGUAGAGGUGCCAUUGAAACUGAAGAACUUGAGUAUGGACGAGGUAGGCGGAAUUUGUGGUGUAGCGGUGAAAUGCAUAGAUACCACAAAGAACACCAAUAGCGAAGGCAGCUUACUGGACCAUAACUGACACUGAGGCACGAAAGCGUGGGUAGCGAACAGG